rnacentral:rRNA from 1 species
AACGAACGCUGGCGGCGCGUUUUAAGCAUGCAAGUCGAGCGGCAAGGGCCUUCGGGCCCCUAGAGCGGCGGACGGGUGAGUAACACGUGGACAAUCUGCCCCCCGGACCGGGAUAGCCCAGGGAAACCUGGAUUAAUACCGGAUGAGAGCGUCGGCGCACAAGCGUCGGCGGGGAAAGGCGCUGCGGCGCCGCCGGGGGAUGAGUCCGCGGCCCAUUAGCUGGAUGGCGGGGUAAAGGCCCACCAUGGCGACGAUGGGUAGCCGGCCUGAGAGGGUGAUCGGCCACAUUGGAACUGAGACACGGUCCAGACUCCUACGGGAGGCAGCAGCUAAGAAUCUUCCGCAAUGGGCGAAAGCCUGACGGAGCGACGCCGCGUGAACGAUGAAGGCCGUGAGGUUGUAAAGUUCUUUUCGGGAGGGAGAACAACCGUGGCAGGGAAUGGCCGCGGGAUGACGUGAAUCCCGGAAUAAGCCCCGGCUAACUACGUGCCAGCAGCCGCGGUAACACGUAGGGGGCGAGCGUUGUUCGGAAUCAUUGGGCGUAAAGGGCGUGCAGGCGGCCCUGCAAGUCCGGCGUGAAAGACCCCGGCCCAACCGGGGGGACACGCUGGAAACUGCAGGGCUUGAAUACAGGAGGGGAUGCCGGAAUUCCAGGUGUAGGGGUGAAAUCUGUAGAUAUCUGGAAGGACACCAAUGGCGAAGGCAGGCAUCUGGCCAUGUAUUGACGCUGAGACGCGAAGGUGCGGGGAGCAAACA